rnacentral:tRNA from 1 species
GUCCCUGUAGCUCAAUGGUUAGAGCGCUGGCCCUGUGCACCAUGGGGUGGUGGGUUCGAACCCAGCCAGGGCCU